CCUUGCCCCCAUUAAAGCUUCUUCACCGCAAGUGGCAACGUCUAUUUCUUUGUUUUUGGAUCUCACUAUUCAUUGCUCCUCUCUCUCUCUCUCUCUUUCUCUCUCUCUCUCUCUCUCUCGCGGCCGCCAUUGGAGGAGCUACGAGGAGGAGGAGAAGCGACAGUGAAAGGGGUUAUCGAGAGCGGAUGCGAUCGGUGGAGCUGGAAGGAAGAGGAACAUCGAGGACUAUCGGUAGGUUGGAAUACGUCUUCCCUCUCUCUGUGGCCAUUGGAGGAGCUCGGAGGAGGAAGGGAAGCAUCAACGUGAACUGGCGGAUUAGAGAUGGUCCAAUCGGAGGAAUGGAAUAGAGAUCUCAAUCCGAAGAUUUCACAAUGAAGCCCGAAGAGAACACUUCUUCGUAGGCUAAACAUUUCAAAUGUGCACGUGCCAGUGAAUCACUCCUCAUUCUGUAAAGUUGUUGUGAUUCUUUUUAAUACCAAAAAGUUUGCAAGAAAAAGGUAUCACUUUGUGUUUUCUAUGCCAUUCUGAAAGAUGAGGGGCUGCUUAAAAGUCUUCAAAUAGGCUGAAAGUGCAAUUAGGAGUUGUUGGAGAACAACAUGGAAGGUAUUAGCAUCAGAACUUCCAAAAGUCGGAAGCAAAACUUGUACCAUUUUAUAUCCUGCCUUUGUCAAGGCAUGAAGUGAUCUAGGCGAGUGUUUGUUUGUUAUUGGAAUAUAUAGUUAUUUUCCUUUUAUCUAGACCCUUUUGAUUUA